rnacentral:rRNA from 1 species
CACGUAGGGGGCGAGCGUUGUUCGGAAUUACUGGGCGUAAAGGGCUCGUAGGCGGCCAACUAAGUCGGAUGUGAAAUCCCCAGGCUUAACCUGGGAACUGCAUCCGAUACUGGAUGGCUUGAAUCCGGGAGAGGGAUGCAGAAUUCCAGGUGUAGCGGUGAAAUGCGUAGAUAUUGGGAAGAACACCGGUGGCGAAGGCGGCUAUCUGGACCGACAUUGACGCUGAGGCGCGAAAGCGUGGGGAGCAAACAGG